GACGAACGCUGGCGGCGUGCUUAACACAUGCAAGUCGAACGGAAAGGCCCUGCUUGCAGGGUGCUCGAGUGGCGAACGGGUGAGUAACACGUGGGUGAUCUGCCCCUUAUUUUGGGAUAAGCCUGGGAAACUGGGUCUAAUACUGGAUAGGACCAUGCUGUAGGUGGUGUGGUGGAAAGAUUAGUUUCGGUAAGGGAUGAGCUCGCGGCCUAUCAGCUUGUUGGUGGGGUAAUGGCCUACCAAGGCGUCGACGGGUAGCCGGCCUGAGAGGGUGGACGGCCACAUUGGGACUGAGAUACGGCCCAGACUCCUACGGGAGGCAGCAGUGGGGAAUAUUGCACAAUGGGCGCAAGCCUGAUGCAGCGACGCCGCGUGGGGGAUGACGGCCUUCGGGUUGUAAACUCCUUUCAGCCAUGACGAAGCCCUUGUGGUGACGGUAGUGGUAGAAGAAGCACCUGCUAACUACGU
rnacentral:rRNA from 1 species